AACGAACGCUGGCGGCAUGCCUAACACAUGCAAGUCGAACGAGACCUUCGGGUCUAGUGGCGCACGGGUGCGUAACGCGUGGGAACCUGCCCUUAGGUUCGGAAUAACUCCCCGAAAGGGGUGCUAAUACCGGAUAAUGUCUUCGGACCAACGAUUUAUCGCCGUUGGAUGGGCCCGCGUUGGAUUAGCUAGUUGGUAGGGUAAAAGCCUACCAAGGGCACGAUCCAUAGCUGGUCUGAGAGGAGGAUCAGCCACACUGGGAGUGAGACCCGGCCAAGACUCCGACGGGGGGGAGAAGUGGGGAAAAUAGGACAAGGGGAGAAAGCAUGGUCCAGCAAUGCCGCGGGAGUGAUGAAGGCGAAGGGGUUGUAAAGCUCUUUUACCCGGGAUGAUAAUGACAGUACCGGAGGAAUAAGCUCCGGAUAACGCG
rnacentral:rRNA from 1 species